rnacentral:rRNA from 1 species
GGGCCCGCACAAGCGGUGGAGCAUGUGGUUUAAUUCGAUGCAACGCGAAGAACCUUACCUACCCUUGACAUCAUCAGAACUUGUUAGAGAUAACUCGGUGCCUUCGGGAACUGGUUGACAGGUGCUGCAUGGCUGUCGUCAGCUCGUGUCGUGAGAUGUUGGGUUAAGUCCCGCAACGAGCGCAACCCUUAUCCUUAGUUGCCAGCACAUAAUGGUGGGGACUCUAAGGAGACUGCCGGUGACAAGCCGGAGGAAGGCGGGGACGACGUCAAGUCAUCAUGGCCCUUACGGGUAGGGCUACACACGUGCUACAAUGGUCGGUACAGAGGGUUGCCAAGUCGCGAGGCGGAGCUAAUCUCAGAAAGCCGGUCAUAGUCCGGAUUGCAGUCUGCAACUCGACUGCAUG